GGGGCUUUAGCGAAGUUGGCUAUCGCGCUACACUGGCAGUGUAGAGAUCACCGGUUCGAAUCCGGUAAGCUCCACCA
rnacentral:tRNA from 6 species